GCGAACAGAUGAGAAGCUUGCUUCUCUGAUGUUAGCGGCGGACGGGUGAGUAACACGUGGGUAACCUACCUAUAAGACUGGGAUAACUCCGGGAAACCGGGGCUAAUACCGGAUAAUAUUUUGAACCGCAUGGUUCAAUAGUGAAAGACGGUUUCGGCUGUCACUUAUAGAUGGACCCGCGCCGUAUUAGCUAGUUGGUAAGGUAACGGCUUACCAAGGCGACGAUACGUAGCCGACCUGAGAGGGUGAUCGGCCACACUGGAACUGAGACACGGUCCAGACUCCUACGGGAGGCAGCAGUAGGGAAUCUUCCGCAAUGGGCGAAAGCCUGACGGAGCAACGCCGCGUGAGUGAUGAAGGUCUUCGGAUCGUAAAACUCUGUUGUUAGGGAAGAACAAAUUUGUUAGUAACUGAACAAGUCUUGACGGUACCUAACCAGAAAGCCACGGCUAACUACGUGC
rnacentral:rRNA from 2 species